rnacentral:rRNA from 1 species
AUUGAACGCUGGCGGCAGGCCUAACACAUGCAAGUCGAACGGUAACAGGAAACAGCUUGCUGUUUCGCUGACGAGUGGCGGACGGGUGAGUAAUGUCUGGGAAACUGCCUGAUGGAGGGGGAUAACUACUGGAAACGGUAGCUAAUACCGCAUAACGUCGCAAGACCAAAGAGGGGGACCUUCGGGCCUCUUGCCAUCGGAUGUGCCCAGAUGGGGUUAGCUUGUUGGUGGGGUAACGGCUCACCAAGGCGACGAUCCCUAGCUGGUCUGAGAGGAGGACCAGCCACACUGGAACUGAGCCACGGUCCAGACUCCUACGGGAGGCAGCAGUAGUGAAUAUUGCACAAGGGGCGAAAGCCUGAUGCAGCCAUGCCGCGUGUAUGAAGAAGGCCUUCGGGUUGUAAAGUACUUUCAGCGGGGAGGAAGGGAGUAAAGUUAAUACCUUUACUCAUUGACGUUACCCGCAGAAGAAGCACCGGCUAACUCCGUGCCAGCAGCCGCCGUAA